rnacentral:rRNA from 1 species
CGUAGGUGGCAAGCGUUGUCCGGAUUUAUGGGUUUAAAGGGUGCGUAGGCGGCUUGAUAAGUCAGUGGUGAAAGCCGAUCGCUUAACGAUCGAACUGCCAUUGAUACUGCCAGGCUUGAGUAUAGUUGAGGUAGGCGGAAUUGACAGUGUAGCGGUGAAAUGCAUAGAUAUUGUCAAGAACACCAAUUGCGAAGGCAGCUUACUAAAGUAUAACUGACGCUGAGGCACGAAAGUGCGGGGAUCAAACAGGAUUAGAUACCCUGGUAGUCCGCACCGUAAACGAUGAUCACUCGCUGUGUGCGAUAAACAGUACGCGGCCAAGCGAAAGCGAUAAGUGAUCCACCUGGGGAGUACGCCCGCAAGGGUG